rfam:Schistosoma haematobium scaffold163_30, whole genome shotgun sequence.
AUCCAGCUGACGAGUCCCAAAUAGAACGAAACACGCAUCAAGCUAGAU